rnacentral:rRNA from 1 species
GUAGUCAUAUGCUUGUCUCAAAGAUUAAGCCAUGCAUGUCUAAGUAUAAGCAACUUUGUACUGUGAAACUGCGAAUGGCUCAUUAAAUCAGUUAUAGUUUAUUUGAUGGUUCUUGCUACAUGGAUAACUGUGGUAAUUCUAGAGCUAAUACAUGCAUUCAAGCCCCGACUUCUGGAAGGGGUGUAUUUAUUAGAUAAAAAUCAACUUUGUUGGUGAAUCAUAAUAACUUCUCGGACCGCAUGGCCUCGUGCUGGCGGUGCUUCAUUCAAAUAUCUGCCCUAUCAACUGUCGAUGGUAGGAUAGAGGCCUACCAUGGUUGCAACGGGUAACGGGGAAU